UUGUUGGUGGCUGAAAAAAAGCAAUGGACUGUAGAUCCAUUUAUGGAACAUUUUAUUCCUCAACGAA
rnacentral:tRNA from 1 species